rnacentral:SRP_RNA from 1 species
GCCAGGUGUGGUGGUGCAUGCCUGUAAUCCCAGCUACUAGGGAGGCUGAGACAUGAGAAUCACUCUAACCUGGGAGGCAGAGGUUUCAGUGAGUGGAAAUUGAACCACUGCACUCCAGCCUAGGUAAUAGAGUGAGACUCUGUCUCAU